CGGGUAUUCACGUACUGGCCACGCGUUUGACAGAAAAUGGCUGCGGACUAAACGGCAGCAGGUGAACAUCCUGUCGCUCCUCACCUCCGUAAUUGUGGGACCAGUUAACUUUUCUGGCUUCUUCACACAAGUGCAGUUGUGAAGUGUGUCAUGCCUCGCAGAGAGGAGCCAGAGGACAGCUUUCAGGAGUUGGUUCUUCCUUCUUGGUUCUUGUACUGGGAAGAACUGAGCUUCAGAUCAGACAGCCGGGUUGAAACUGGGAGCUCUAGAACAAAGGAUGAACCAGAGGGAUCCUCCUCUUGAGAUAAUGACAAGUGACAAUUCACACUCCUCACUGAAUUAACAGCGCUGCCUGCCAGCCGAUGGGCAGCUGCCGGCUCACUGGCAGACUUCCCCAUUGUCCCAACUGCUGUGUUCCUGCGUGGACCGAAUUCCACUCCACUUCCUCUGCUGUAGCUGCCCUGCAGGCUGCUGUAGCCUUCUCUUUGCCUCCCCUCCCCAAGCUAAACCAAUGGUUCUUCCUGAUUUUCAUCAUUUUGGGGUUCUCUGCAGGAUGUCCUAGCACAGUCACCUGCACUCAAAACGCCACUCUGUUCUCGACUUUCCGAACACCGCACUUUCUUAUUUAGUUUUCUGUCUUCUUGUGAGAGCAAAACGUUCAUGAUUCUGUGUUUCCCCAUGGUCUCCUUUGUCUUACUGUCAUCUUAUCCAAGUGCUCAGCCUACACAAGAACGUACCGAUCAUUCACUGUCCACUUCCUGACCUGGCCCUGCUUUGUCACAGUGAACAGAUAACCCAGGCGCUAGUGUCAUGGGGCUAAUAUUAUUCCCUAUUAGAUACGCAGACUAAAUAGCAACCAAA
rnacentral:lncRNA from 1 species